AUGGGCUUCCCUUGUGACUCAGCUGGUAAAGAAUCCACCCAAAAUGUGGGAGACAUGGGUUCUAUCCCUGGAUUGGGAAGAUCUCCUGGAGAAGGGAAUGGCUGCCCACUCCAGUGUUCUGGUCUGGAGAAUUCCAUGGACUGUAUAGUCCAUGGGGUUGCAAAGAGUCAGACACGACUGAGCAACUUUCACACUCACUCAUGAAGAUAUCAGGACCACUGUUCAUAACCCAGUCAUAAUUUAGUGUGAACAAUACUUUUUUUUUUUUUUAAUUCAAAGAAACAUAUAAACUUGAAGAAAGUACUAGUAUAUGUUAGUGGAAUCAUCAGUACAGAGCCAGUAUGGACAACACCUUCAAGCAGUUUGGCUGGCCUGGAGAUGAUGUGUUAACUAUAAAUGGGAGGAAUCCUUUCACAAUGUAUAGGUAGCAAAUCACCAGGGUGUAUACUUUAAGCAUCUCACAGUUUUAUCUGACUUAUUUAAAGAUGAUUUUUUGGAUUUGACACUAGAAGCAAAGGCAGCAAAAGCAGAAAUAAACAAGUAAGACUACAUCAAACUAAAAAGCUUCUGCCCAGCCAAGGAAACCAUCAACAAAAUGAAAAGGCAACCUACCAAAUGGGAGACAAUAAUUGUAAUAAAAUAAAAAUAAAAAAGUAUAUCUGAUAAGGGGUUAAUAUCAAAAAUACAUAAACACAACUCAGUUGCAAAAACCAAUCUAAUGAAAAAAUAGGCAGAGGAUUGGAACAGAUGUUUUUCCAAAGAUGACAAAUGAAUGGCUAAAAGGUACAUGAAAAGGUGCUUAACAUCACUAAUCAUCAAGAAGAUGUCCUCAAAACCAUAAUGAGAUACCUCACAUCUAUUAGACACCUCACAUCUAUUAGAAUGGCUAUCUAAAAGACAAGAAAUAACAAGUAUUAGCAAGGAUGUGGACAAAAGGGAGCCCUUGUGCGCUGCUGGAGGGAAUGUAAAUAGGUACAGCCAUUACUGCUGGACAACAGUAUGGAGGUUCCUCAAAAAAUUACAAACAGAACUACUGUAUGAUUCAGCAAUCCACUUCUGGGUAUUUAGCCAAAAAAUAAAACACUAAAUCAGAAAGAUACCUGCACUCCCAUAUUCAUGGCAGCUUUACUUACAAUACCGAAGACAUGGAAGCAACCUAAGUGUCCAAUGUGGUAUGUAUAUUUAUACACAAUGGAAUAUUCUUCGGCCAUAAAGGAAAUCUUUCCAUCUGCAACCACAUAGAUGGAUCUUGAUGGCAUUGUGGGUAUGAGCGCUCAGUCAUGUCUGACUCUGCAACCCCAAUGACUAUAGCCCACCAGGCUUCCCUAUCCAUGGAAUUUUCCAGGCAAGAAUAUUGGAACAGGUUGCCAUUUCCUUCUCCAGGGGAUCUUCCCAACCCAGAGACUGAACCC
rnacentral:lncRNA from 1 species